CAUUACUAAGCUUUACUAAGUGUAAUAUUGAAAAUAUUAAGUUAUUUGAUGA
rnacentral:tRNA from 1 species